ensembl:lncRNA novel transcript, antisense to OR13C3
GGGAAGCUGUAAGGGACUGAGCCUGAGGAACGGUGCACUCCAGCCCAGACACUGGGCUUUUCCCACAGUCUUUGCAAACCACAGACCAGGAGAUUCCCUCCAAUACCUGUGCCACCAGGGCCCUGGGUUUCAAGCACAAAACUGGGAGGCCAUUCAGGCAGACACCAAACUAGCUGCAGGAGUUUUUUUUUUUCUUUCUAGACCCCUGUGGCACCUGGAAUGCCAGCGAGACAGAACUGUUCACUCCCCUGGAAAGGGGGCUGAAGCCAGGGAACCAAGUGGUCUGGCCUGGCAGGUCCCACUCCCAUGGAGCCCAGCAAACUAAGAUCCACUGGCUUGAAAUUCUCGCUGCCAGCACAGCAGCAGUCUGAAAUCGACCUGGGACGCUCCAGUUUGGUUGGGGGAGGGGCGUCCGCCAUUGCUGAGGCUUGAGUAGGCGGUUUGACCCUCAUAGUGUAAAGAAAGCUGCUGGGAAGUUCGAACUGGGCAGAGCCCACCACAGCUCAGCAAGGCCGCUAUGGCCCGACUGUCUCUCUAGUUUUCUCCUCUCUGGGCAGGGCAUCUCUGAAAAAAAGGCAGCAGCCCCAGUCAAGGACCUAUAGAUAAAACCCCCAUCUCCCUGAGACAGAGCACCUGGGGGAAGGGGCGGCUGUGGGCACAGCUUCAGCAGACUUAAACGUCCCUGCCUGAUGGCUCUGAAGAGAGCAGCAGAUCUCCCAGCAUGCUGUUCGAGCUCAGCUAAGGGUCAGACUGCCUCCUCAAGUGGGUCCAUGACCCCCAUGUAUCCUGAUUGGGAGACACCUCCCAGGAGGGGCUGACAGACACCUCAUACCGGAGAGCUCUGGCUAGUAUCUGGCAGGUGCCCCUCUGAGACAAAGCUUCCAGAGGAAAGAACAGGCAGCAAUCUUUGCUGUUCUGCAGCCUCCGCUGGUGAUACCCAGGCAAACAGGGUCUGGGGUGGACCUUCAGCAAACUCCAGCAGACCUGCAGCAGAGGGGCUUGACUGUUGGAAGGAAAACUAACAAACAGAAAGGAAUAGCACAUCCACUCAGAGACCCCAUCCGAAGGUCACCAACAUCAAAGACCAAAGGUCUUGAGACUUCGGUUUCGCAUACAUAAAGAAGAUGGUACCGUAAAAUAUGAUCACCACAGUCAGGUGAGCUGAGCACGUGGAAAAUGCCUUGCGUCUUCCUGUGGCUGAAUUCAUUUGCAAGAUGGUGUAGAGGAUGAACAUAUAGGAGAAAAAAAUGACCAUCAGUGGAAGAACCAGGAAGGCCAUAUUUGAUAUCACCAUGGUGAUAAUAUUGAGGGAUAUAUCAGCACAGGCCAGCUUGAGGACAGCUAAUAUUUCACAUGCGAAAUGAUUGAUAAUAUUAUUCCCACAGAAAGGCAGUCUCAUGGCAAGUAAUGUUUGCACAGCUGAAUUUAUUCCACCGGACAGCCAGGACACAGAAGCCAUCAAUACAUACGCCACCUUGCUCAGGAUGAUGGGGUAUCUCAGUGGGUUGCAGAUGGCCACAUAACGAUCAAAUGCCAUCAUGCCAAGAAGCAGACAUUCUGUUGACCCCAUUGCAAACCCAAAGAACAUCUGCACUGCACAUCCAGAGAAGGAAAUGUUUCUUUUCUUUGAGAUUAAGCUCACCAAUGUUGAGGGAACAGAGGAGGAUGUAUAGCAGAUAUCCAGGAAAGAGAGGUUGCCCAGGAAGAAGUACAUUGGUGUGUGAAAAUGAGAAUCAAAGAUGCUGGCUAUGAUUAGAACACCAUUGCCAAUUAGAAUCACUAGGUACAUAACUAGAAUGAGAGCAAAGUAAACAAUCUCAAUCUUUGGGUAUCCAGAAAGACCCAGAAGAAGAAAUUCUGACACAAGUGUCUGGUUAAUCUCACCCAUGUCAUCUGCUUUCAGGAAAUCAAAAGAAGAUCUAACAUGAAAUGUAUUUACUGCCAAGAAACAAACAGUACAAAUUAACUGAACAAUCAUUCUUUUGACACAUAUUAGAAGGAGUGCUUGCUUGAAGUUCUGACAUCCAGUUAUCUUCAGUAAUGUGUGUGACUAGAAUACAAUGAAAUUGGGAAUGAUGGAAGCACCUAUACCGCAUCGCCAAUAUGUGAAGAUCUACCCACGAUCAGACACACAUGCAGACGGAACCUUUCCUGCUGUUGAGGACAUGUUCCUGAGUUGAGGACACUCUCCCGAGCUGAGGUUUCUAAAACCCCUGGCCAAUCAACAACUCUAAGCUUAACAUCUUCAUUUCAUCAACCCCAGCAAACAAGCAGUAAAGGGGGCAAAAGACUACUCAACAAAGACUGGAAUUUUAAUUCAGCAAUUUAUAAAGUGUUUAAAAUUUCACAGCAACUUUGA